rnacentral:rRNA from 1 species
GAUGAACGCUGGCGGCGUGCUUAACACAUGCAAGUCGAACGGAAAGGCCCUGCUUGCAUGGUACUAGAGUGGCGAACGGGUGAGUAACACGGGGGUGAUCUGCCCUGUACUUUGGGAUAAGCGUGGGAAACUGGGUCUAAUACCGAAUAUGACAAUUGUUUGGAUGCGAUUGUGGAGAGCUUUUGCGGUAUGGGAUGAGCUCGCGGCCUAUCAGCUCGUUGGUGGGGUAAUGGCCUACCAAGGCGUCGACGGGGAGCCGGCAUGCGAGGGUGUAGGGCCACAUCGGACCUGUGAUACAGGCAACAGUGCUGAGGGAGGCAGCAGUGGGGAAUAUUGAACACUGGCCGAACGCCUGAUGCAGGAACGCCGCGUGGGGGAUGAGGGCCUUCGGGUUGUAAGAUACUCACGAAGCCGACGAAGCCUUUUGGUGACGGUAGGUAGAGAAGAAGCACCGGCUAACUACGUG